UACGUAGGAUGCAAGCGUUGUCCGGAAUUACUGGGCGUAAAGGGCGCGCAGGCGGCACUACAAGUCUGAUGUAAAAUCUCCCGGCUUAACUGGGAGGGGCCAUUGGAAACUGUAGAGCUGGAGUGCAGGAGAGGCUAACGGAAUUCCCGGUGUAGUGGUGAAAUGCGUAGAUAUCGGGAGGAACACCAGUGGCGAAGGCGACUACCUGGCCUGUUCUUGACGCUGAGGCGCGAAAGCGAGGGGAGCAAACGGG
rnacentral:rRNA from 1 species